rnacentral:rRNA from 1 species
AGUACGGAAUAACUGCGGGAAACUGUAGCUAAUACCGUAUACUCCAGUAAUGGGAAAGAUUUAUCGCUAUAAGAUUGGCCCGCGCAAGAUUAGCUUGUUGGUGAGGUAAAAGCUCACCAAGGCUUCGAUCUUUAGCUGGUUUGAGAGGACGAUCAGCCACACUGGGACUGAGACACGGCCCAGACUCCUACGGGAGGCAGCAGUAGGGAAUAUUGGACAAUGGGGGCAACCCUGAUCCAGCAAUGCAGCGUGAGUGACGAAGGCCUUAGGGUUGUAAAACUCUUUCAUCGGUGAGGAUAAUGACAGUAGCCGAAGAAGAAGGACCGGCUAAUUCCGUGCCAGCAGCCGCGGUAAUACGGAAGGUCCUAGCGUUGUUCGGAAUUACUGGGCGUAAAGCGCAUGUAGGCGGAACAGAAAGUUAGAAGUGAAAUCCCUGGGCUCAACCUAGGAAUUGCUUUUAAAACUUCUGUUCUGGAAUUCAGGAGAGGAAAAUGGAAUUUCCAGUGUAGAGGUGAAAUUCGUAGAUAUUGGAAGGAACACCAGUGGCGAAGGCGAUUUUCUGGACUGAUAUUGACGCUGAGAUGCGAAGGCAUGGGUAGCAAACGGGAUUAGAUACCCCGGUAGUCCAUGCAGUAAACGAUGGGUGCUAGUCGUCGGACUUUUGUUCGGUGUCGUAGCUAACGCGUUAAGCACCCCGCCUGGGGAGUACGGUCGCAAGAUUAAAACUCAAAUAAAUUGACGGGGACCCGCACAAGCAGUGGAGCAUGUGGUUUAAUUCGACGCAACGCGAAGAACCUUACCAGCGUUUGACAUGGAAAGUGCCGGUUACAGAAUGGUAACCUUCAGUUCGGCUGGCUUUCGCACAGGU